GUUUGAUGGCGACCGGCGCACGGGUGAGUAACACGUAUCCAACCUGCCGAUGACUCGGGGAUAGCCUUUCGAAAGAAAGAUUAAUACCCGAUGGCAUAGUUCUUCCGCAUGGUAGAACUAUUAAAGAACUUCGGUCAUCGAUGGGGAUGCGUUCCAUUAGGUUGUUGGCGGGGUAACGGCCCACCAAGCCUUCGAUGGAUAGGGGUUCUGAGAGGAAGGUCCCCCACAUUGGAACUGAGACACGGUCCAAACUCCUACGGGAGGCAGCAUG
rnacentral:rRNA from 1 species